rnacentral:rRNA from 1 species
GGGUUGUGAGGUUAAGCGACUAAGCGUACACGGUGGAUGCCCUGGCAGUCAGAGGCGAUGAAGGACGUGCUAAUCUGCGAUAAGCGUCGGUAAGGUGAUAUGAACCGUUAUAACCGGCGAUUUCCGAAUGGGGAAACCCAGUGUGAUUCGUCACACUAUCAUUAACUGAAUCCAUAGGUUAAUGAGGCGAACCGGGGGAACUGAAACAUCUAAGUACCCCGAGGAAAAGAAAUCAACCGAGAUUCCCCCAGUAGCGGCGAGCGAACGGGGAGCAGCCCAGAGCCUGAAUCAGUGUGUGUGUUAGUGGAAGCGUCUGGAAAGGCGUGCGAUACAGGGUGACAGCCCCGUACACAAAAAUGCACAUACUGUGAGCUCGAUGAGUAGGGCGGGACACGUGGUAUCCUGUCUGAAUAUGGGGGGACCAUCCUCCAAGGCUAAAUACUCCUGACUGACCGAUAGUGAACCAGUACCGUGAGGGAAAGGCGAAAAGAACCCCGGCGAGGGGAGUGAAAAAGAACCUGAAACCGUGUACGUACAAGCAGUGGGAGCACGCUUAGGCGUGUGACUGCGUACCUUUUGUAUAAUGGGUCAGCGACUUAUAUUCUGUAGCAAGGUUAACCGAAUAGGGGAGCCGAAGGGAAACCGAGUCUUAACUGGGCGUUAAGUUGCAGGGUAUAGACCCGAAACCCGGUGAUCUAGCCAUGGGCAGGUUGAAGGUUGGGUAACACUAACUGGAGGACCGAACCGACUAAUGUUGAAAAAUUAGCGGAUGACUUGUGGCUGGGGGUGAAAGGCCAAUCAAACCGGGAGAUAGCUGGUUCUCCCCGAAAGCUAUUUAGGUAGCGCCUCGUGAAUUCAUCUCCGGGGGUAGAGCACUGUUUCGGCAAGGGGGUCAUCCCGACUUACCAACCCGAUGCAAACUGCGAAUACCGGAGAAUGUUAUCACGGGAGACACACGGCGGGUGCUAACGUCCGUCGUGAAGAGGGAAACAACCCAGACCGCCAGCUAAGGUCCCAAAGUCAUGGUUAAGUGGGAAACGAUGUGGGAAGGCCCAGACAGCCAGGAUGUUGGCUUAGAAGCAGCCAUCAUUUAAAGAAAGCGUAAUAGCUCACUGGUCGAGUCGGCCUGCGCGGAAGAUGUAACGGGGCUAAACCAUGCACCGAAGCUGCGGCAGCGACGCUUAUGCGUUGUUGGGUAGGGGAGCGUUCUGUAAGCCUGUGAAGGUGUGCUGUGAGGUAUGCUGGAGGUAUCAGAAGUGCGAAUGCUGACAUAAGUAACGAUAAAGCGGGUGAAAAGCCCGCUCGCCGGAAGACCAAGGGUUCCUGUCCAACGUUAAUCGGGGCAGGGUGAGUCGACCCCUAAGGCGAGGCCGAAAGGCGUAGUCGAUGGGAAACAGGUUAAUAUUCCUGUACUUGGUGUUACUGCGAAGGGGGGACGGAGAAGGCUAUGUUGGCCGGGCGACGGUUGUCCCGGUUUAAGCGUGUAGGCUGGUUUUCCAGGCAAAUCCGGAAA